AAGUCGUAACAAGGUCUCCGUAGGUGAACCUGCGGAGGGAUCAUUAACAAAUCUACACACAUAUCCUGUGCAACUGUCUGUUCCUGGGAGGUGGUGGUAUUCAUUGCCACCACCUCCCAGGGACAUCAUCACAAACACACACUUUGUCAGUCAGUAUGAUACGCAUACAUAUGCAAUCAAUCUACAAACAACUUUUAACAAUGGAUCUCUUGGCUCUU
rnacentral:misc_RNA from 1 species